UAAGCAGAUAGCUUAAAGAUAAAGCAUGACACUGAAGAUGUUAGUAUAGAUAUUUCUUCUGCUUAG
rnacentral:tRNA from 1 species